AACGUAGGGGACAAGCGUUAUCCGGAUUUACUGGGCGUAAAGCGCCCGUAGGCGGCCUGACAAGUUGGACGUGAAAGCUCCUGGCUUAACUGGGAGAGGCCGUUCAAAACUGUCAAGCUAGAGUCUGGAAGAGGAGAGCGGAAUUCCCGGUGUAGUGGUGAAAUGCGUAGAGAUCCGGAGGAACACCAGUGGCGAAGGCGACACGCUGGGCCGUACCUGACACUGAUGCGCGACAGCAUGGGGAGCAAACAGG
rnacentral:rRNA from 1 species